rnacentral:lncRNA from 1 species
CUGGGGGCGGAGCGACACCUGUGUGCUCCCCGCUCCCCAGCAGACUCAGCCCUGACGGCGCGACCCAACCCUCUCUGCCCGAGGGCUCAGCUCCGGAGCGCGCUUCUCUCUGAGGCCCGGGACGGCGGCGCAGACCGGUACAUACCAGCCUUCCAGGCUUCAGCCGAGUGAUUCGAGUUUUCUCUCCCAGAUCAAGUUGAAAAAGUGUUUUCUGAAAUCGUGG